GACGAACGCUGGCGGCGUGCUUAACACAUGCAAGUCGAACGGAAAGGCCCUGCUUUUGUGGGGAGCUCGAGUGGCGAACGGGUGAGUAACACGUGAGUAACCGGCCCUUGACUUUGGGAUAACUUCAAGAAACUGGGGCUAAUACCGGAUAGGAGCUCCUGCUGCAUGGUGGGGGUUGGAAAGUGUCGGCGGUUGGGGAUGGACUCGCGGUUUAUCAGCUUGUUGGUGGGGUAGUGGCUUACCAAGGCUUUGACGGGUAGCCGGCCUGAGAGGGUGACCGGCGACAUUGGGACUGAGAUACGGCCCAGACUCCUACGGGAGGCAGCAGUGGGGAAUAUUGCACAAUGGGCGGAAGCCUGAUGCAGCAACGCCGCGUGCGGGAUGACGGCCUUCGGGUUGUAAACCGCUUUCGCCUGUGACGAAGCGUGAGUGACGGUAAUGGGUAAAGAAGCACCGGCUAACUACGUG
rnacentral:rRNA from 1 species